rnacentral:rRNA from 1 species
CACCUACGGGACGCAGCAGUGAGGAAUAUUGGUCAAUGGGCGCGAGCCUGAGCCAGCCAAGUAGCGUGAAGGAUGACUGCCCUAUGGGUUGUAAGCUUCUUUUAUAUGGGAAUAAAGUUUUCCACGUGUGGAAUUUUGUAUGUACCAUAUGAAUAAGGAUCGGCUAACUCCGUGCCAGCAGCCGCGGUAAUACGGAGGAUCCGAGCGUUAUCCGGAUUUAUUGGGUUUAAAGGGAGCGUAGGUGGAUUGUUAAGUCAGUUGUGAAAGUUUGCGGCUCAACCGUAAAAUUGCAGUUGAAACUGGCA